rnacentral:lncRNA from 1 species
UGUGACUUUAUAUAUAAUGUGAUCUUACAUAUUAUCUCUAUAUAUGUUAGAAAUUUGUGUGUCUAAAAUGAUUUCCAAGAACCACCAUAGGCUUAUUUCAUUAUCACUGCAACAGUCUCAAGUUCAGAAAGAGUUAAAAAUAGAGAUUCAAAUGAAAACAUGUUCACUUUUUCCCAUGAUGCUUCAACCUUUUAAUGACCUUAAGCUGCUUCUCACUGUAUGACUCAGCGGCAUAGCAAAUGAAUCAGAGAGAGAGAGAAAGAGUGAACGAGAGCCAGAGAAAGAGUGAGAGAUACAGAGGGGAGAUGAAGAGAGAGAGAGAGAGAGCUCUCCAGGUAUCUCCAAGCACAGAAGGACAUGUUUGCUUCCCUUUCUGCCUUGAUUGAAAGUUUCUGGAAGCCUUCCCAGCCUUGCAGAACUAUGAAAACUCUUCUACAUAAGAUAUAAUUAUUGGAACAGAUCAAUGAAGAAAUUACAAAAGACAAAAUAAUACACUUGAUCACCUAAGAUGGGGUCUCGCUCUGUCACCCAGACUGCGGGGAAGCAGCAUGAUCUCUGCUCACUGCAAGGUCCACCUCCCGGGUUCAGGCCAUUCUUCUGACUCAGCCUCCUGAGCAACUGGGAUUACAGGAGUGCACCACCACCCCCGGCUAUAUAUUUUUUUUCUCUGUUUGUUUUUUUAGUAGAGUCGAGGUUUCACCGUGUUAGCCAGGGUGGUCUCGAUUUCCUGACCUUGUGAUCUGCCCGUCUCGGCCUCCCAAACUGCUGGGAUUACCGGCGUGAGCCACUGUGCCCUGCUAACAAUUUUCUCACUCUAUAUUUUCUAAUACUAUGAAAUCAAUGAAUUAAGUUUGUGGUCUAAGUACCAGUAGACAUUAAAAUAAUUGUUUGUCUGGAAUGAAGAAAAUUAUACGUAUUCUAAUUUGUCCUAGUCUUGUGCCAAAUGAAAUCUUUCAUUAACUGGAACAAAUUAAAUAAUUAAGUCUCAAUAUUUAUAAAGCCAUUUUAUUAAAAUGAUUUUUAAAACUAAUGUUCUACCAUUCUCAGUUGCCAUGUCUGUAGAAAUUAUUACCGAUUGUAAAUUUUACCAGUGGUCUCCAGAGAGGGAUGAAGAUGUGGGGGAUAUUUUGCAAGAAAGUUCCUGGCUGCCUCCCCUGAGGGUUCUGAUGUAUUGGCUAUGUUACUGGAAUUGCUAUGUAGUAAUUAUUCAAAUUGCAUGCACAGCUAAGAAACCCAAUAAAGCUUCUAAAGGAGUUCCCUCAUGUAUGCAAAACUAUUUUAACAGCGACACAUAUUUAUUAUUUUAACACAGAGAAGCAAAACUCAUCUUUGAAAGAGAACUGCCUUUCAAAGAAUUAUUUGUUAAAUCAUGAAUGGCGGCGGGUGAAAUCCAAAGAAAAGAAGAGAUCGUGAAUUUCCUAUAGCUCAUUGUGGAUUUGCUGAGUUGAGAUUUGAAGCAUUCAGAAGAAAAGUUUAUGUUAGGAUAGCCAAAAGGUCAUCAGCAAAAGGGCUAGAUGUUGAUUUUAGAAGGUUUAUUUUCCUAUUUUUCCCAUAUGAGAAUAUGCCUCCAAAUUUCUCCUUAAAUCCUCAGUUAAAUCUAAUGAACACACACACACACACACACACACACACACACACACACACUCUCUCUCUCUUCUACAUGUAGUUGAAUUUUUUUUUUUUUUUUUUUUUUUUUUUUUUUUUUUUUUUUGGAGACAGGAUCAAUUUCCUGGGCUGGAGUGCAAUGGUGCAAUCAUAGCUCACAGCAGCCUUGACAUCCUGGGAUUAGGGAUCCUCCCACCUCAAGCCUCCUGAGUAGCUGGGACUACAGGCAUGUGCUACCAGACUGAGCUAAUUUUUUUUUCUUUUUGUAGAGACAGGCUUUAGUCAGGUUGCCCAGGAUGGGCUCGAACUCUUUGGCUCAAGCGAUCCUCUCACCUUGGCUCCCAAAGUGCUGGGAUUACAAGUGUGAGCCACCAUGCCUGGCCUUGAGUGGAUUUCUGAAUUGAGAAGUGGCCCAGUCUCUCAUGUUGGUAUUCCAAGUGAAAAACACAUCAUCCACAAAGGACAUUAGAUAAAACUGGCAACAAAAAUAACCACCUUAAUUAACCUGAGUCCUCACCUAUCCUCUGUGAGUAAUAGGAAAACAUGUCUGGGCAGGAGUUUGGACUUCCAGCGUGACUGAAGUUCAGAUUUGAGUCCAGGAUAUUUCUUAUCUACAUCCAUUAUGACAAUGUCCAUUCCAUAGGCAGAGAUUCCAUAGGUAGGGAUCUGGGAAGUUUUGCUUAUGGCUGCCUCCAGGGGCCUAAAAUGGUCCCUGGUGCACUUCUGGAGCAAGUAAGUACUGGUUGAAUAAAUGCAUUUUCAGAGACAGGGAAACCUACAUUAUCUCUACAUGAUACAAUUUUGUGGCUGGAAAUAUCACAAGUCCAACCACAUGUAUUUCACCUUGAAGUCUGUACAAACAGAGAUUGAGGAUGAAUGUUUUAACAUCUUGCUCUCAAAUGGUUGCAUCUUUUUUUCCCAAAAAAUAUAUUGGAGAGUUUCUUCAAGUCUGUGGUGUCCACCAUGACUGAAGGCCUGCAAACUCCGCAUCUACCAAACAGGACCGAGACACUCAAAUCCCCAAGUUCAGAAUAGGUAGAGGUUUUGUGUUCAGAUUUGUAAGUGGGUAGGGUAAGGGUUUGGGUUCCUGUUCAGGUUUGGGUAACAAUUCUGGUCAAGAAUGAUGUUGAGUGUGUGUUUGGAUUUUAGUCCAGGCUGGGAUCUCACAGUCAGGAGUCAAGGAGCAAAACACAGAGGGUUAAAGAUCAAAGAUCAAGGGUUAGGACGGGUUUCAGGUAUUGAUAAAGGUUCAUGUUAGGAUUUGGCUUCAAGUUCAAUUUGGGGUAUGGUUAGAUCACUAAUUGAAUGUCAGGGUAGGAGCACAAGUCAAUAUUAUGAUCAAGGGAUUAUAUUCGUUAUUAGGGACAAUGGUCAAAGGUCAGGAUUAGGAUCAAAAGUCUGUGGGUUAGAGAAUUUGGUAGAUGCCUUCAGUGUUCAAAUCAGGGGUCAAGAGUCAAGGGUUACUGGCAAAAGUCAAGGGUGAGUUCAAAAUUUUACAUUGAAGUUAAAGUAGGUGUUGGGUUGGGUUUGGUUUUGAGUCUAAAUUUAGAUUCAUUUUCAAGGUUGGGUAGAAUUAGGUUUCAUAUCCAGUCAUUAGUUAGGGUCCAGAUUAAAAUUUGGGUUCAAGUUCUCAUUCUCUGUUCAGGGUCAUGGGUCAGCUCAAUGAUCAAGAAGCAAUGGUCAAAGGCCACAGGUUAGUUUUAAGGUUUCAAUUUCUGUUAGGGUCAGUAUUAGGUUUAGAGGUAAAACACUGCUGAGACCCUUGUCACUUUCAUCUUUAUGACUGAAAAUCGUAACCAGAAAAACACAUGAAGAAGUGAACAUUUAACAAUCUAGGCAUAUUUUUAGGAAACAUAACUGUUGAAAGAUAUCUUCAACAUGGCUUGGGAAUAUUUUUAGCACAAAAGAUAUUAGAGAAUGGGAGCUUUAUAAUAUAGUAAUUUAGUCAAUGUACUUAACGGAAUUUGGAUGUUAUGACCUCUUUGUAGUUAAGAGUGUACAUUAAUAUUAACUCUGGACAAUCCCCUUCUGAUCUACAGAGAUUAUGCAUGUUUUUAUUUGUGUGUGUGUGUUUGUGUACUUCUCACACCAUUGACGUUGAAGCUUGGUUUUGCAUUAUCCAACCCACCCAUGUAAAGACACUAUUGGAUAUGGAUGGAUGCAUGCUACAGAUUUAGCCACCUCUGUGAAUGGGAAACUUAUAGAUGGAAGAUGGUUCCCAGAAGAUGUUCCACCUAUAUAGAGAAGGGAACAGAAAGAGGAGUACCUCAGCCACAGUAUUCUGGGGGUUUGCAGGAUGGAAAUAGUCAGAUAGGAAAUUUGUAAAUCACUGCAUGUGAAGGGAGGAAGAAUGCAAAAAUAUUUUAUAUAAUAAACACUUAAAUACUUACAUUUGGGAGUGCAAAAAUAGAGAUAUGGUGAAAAAUCAAAUCAGAUGGAACA